rnacentral:lncRNA from 1 species
AUUAGCCUAAAACUGCGGGCGUCUAUAAGUAUAACAUAGCUCUUCCACAAUAUAUGAUCUAAAGUCAAAUGAAUGAACUGCCACAAUUAUUUAUAGUCUCAUAUAUAAUUACUCAAAUUCAGCAUCUUACCUGAAGGUUUUCCUUUUUAUAUAGGAAAAAUACUGAUACCAAAAGGAUUACCAUGACUUUUCUUAAAACAACAUCAUGAUUUCUCUCCAGGGGC